CAGUCGCCGCGGUAAUACAGAGACUGCAAGCGUUACUCGGAAUCACUGGGCGUAAAGGGAGCGCAGGCGGACCGAUGUGUCAGGUGUGAAACUCCGGAGCUCAACUCCGGGACUGCGCCUGAAACUGUCGGUCUAGGGACUCGGAGGGGCUAGUGGAAUUCCUGGUGGAGCAGUGAAAUGCGUAGAUAUCAGGAGGAACACCAACGGCGAAGGCAGCUAGCUGGACGAGAUCCGACGCUCAGGCUCGAAAGUAUGGGGAGCAAAAAGGAUUAGAUACCUCGGUAGUCCCUGUCUCUUAUAC
rnacentral:rRNA from 1 species